rnacentral:rRNA from 1 species
AUUGAACGCUGGCGGCAGGCUUAACACAUGCAAGUCGAGCGAGCGGCGGACGGGUGAGUAAUGUCUGGGAAACUGCCUGAUGGAGGGGGAUAACUACUGGAAACGGUAGCUAAUCCCGCAUACCAUCGGAUGUGCCCAGAUGGGAUUAGCUAGUAGGUGGGGUAAUGGCUCACCUAGGCGACGAUCCCUAGCUGGUCGGAGCGGAUGACCAGCCACACUGGAACUGGGACACGGGCCGGACUCCAACGGGAGGCAGCAGUGGGGAAUAUUGCACAAUGGGCGCAAGCCUGAUGCAGCCAUGCCGCGUGUAUGAAGAAGGCCUUCGGGUUGUAAAGUACUUUCAGCGAGGAGGCGUUACCCGCAGAAGAAGCACCGGCUAACUCCGUGCCAGCAGCCGCGGUAAUUC